rnacentral:rRNA from 1 species
GACGUAGGGGGCGAGCGUUGUCCGGAAUCAUUGGGCGUAAAGGGCUCCUAGGUGGUUCAGUAAGUCGAGUGUGAAAACUCUGGGCUCAACCCAGAGACGCCACUCGAUACUGCUGUGACUCGAGUUCGGUAGAGGAGUGUGGAAUUCCUGGUGUAGCGGUGAAAUGCGCAGAUAUCAGGAGGAACACCAACGGCGAAGGCAGCACUCUGGGCCGAUACUGACACUAAAGAGCGAAAGCGUGGGGAGCAAACAGG